GAUGAACGCUGGCGGCGUGCCUAAUACAUGCAAGUCGAACGAAACUUCUUUAUCACCGAGUGCUUGCACUCACCGAUAAAGAGUUGAGUGGCGAACGGGUGAGUAACACGUGGGCAACCUGCCCAAAAGAGGGGGAUAACACUUGGAAACAGGUGCUAAUACCGCAUAACCAUAGUUACCGCAUGGUAACUAUGUAAAAGGUGGCUAUACUACCGCUUUUGGAUGGGCCCGCGGCGCAUUAGCUAGUUGGUAGGGUAAAGGCUUACCAAGGCAAUGAUGCGUAGCCGAAUUGAGAGGGUGAUCGGCCACAUUGGGACUGAGACACGGCCCAAACUCCUACGGGAGGCAGCAGUAGGGAAUCUUCCACAAUGGGCGAAAGCCUGAUGGAGCAACGCCGCGUGGGUGAAGAAGGUCUUCGGAUCGUAAAACCCUGUUGUUAGAGAAGAAAGUGCGUGAGAGUAACUGUUCACGUUUCGACGGUAUCUAAACAGAAAGCCACGGCUAACUACGUG
rnacentral:rRNA from 1 species